GGCGGCGUGCCUAAUACAUGCAAGUCGAGCGGACCGACGGGAGCUUGCUCCCUUAGGUCAGCGGCGGACGGGUGAGUAACACGUGGGUAACCUGCCUGUAAGACUGGGAUAACUCCGGGAAACCGGGGCUAAUACCGGAUGCUUGAUUGAACCGCAUGGUUCAAUUAUAAAAGGUGGCUUUUAGCUACCACUUACAGAUGGACCCGCGGCGCAUUAGCUAGUUGGUGAGGUAACGGCUCACCAAGGCAACGAUGCGUAGCCGACCUGAGAGGGUGAUCGGCCACACUGGGACUGAGACACGGCCCAGACUCCUACGGGAGGCAGCAGUAGGGAAUCUUCCGCAAUGGACGAAAGUCUGACGGAGCAACGCCGCGUGAGUGAUGAAGGUUUUCGGAUCGUAAAACUCUGUUGUUAGGGAAGAACAAGUACCGUUCGAAUAGGGCGGUACCUUGACGGUACCUAACCAGAAAGCCACGGCUAACUACGUGCCAGCAGC
rnacentral:rRNA from 1 species